GACGAACGCUGGCGGCGUGCCUAAUACAUGCAAGUAGAACGCUGAAGGAGGAGCUUGCUUCUCCGGAUGAGUUGCGAACGGGUGAGUAACGCGUAGGUAACCUGCCUGGUAGCGGGGGAUAACUAUUGGAAACGAUAGCUAAUACCGCAUAACAGUAGAUAUCGCAUGAUAUCUGCUUGAAAGGUGCAAUUGCAUCACUACCAGAUGGACCUGCGUUGUAUUAGCUAGUUGGUGAGGUAACGGCUCACCAAGGCGACGAUACAUAGCCGACCUGAGAGGGUGAUCGGCCACACUGGGACUGAGACACGGCCCAGACUCCUACGGGAGGCAGCAGUAGGGAAUCUUCGGCAAUGGACGGAAGUCUGACCGAGCAACGCCGCGUGAGUGAAGAAGGUUUUCGGAUCGUAAAGCUCUGUUGUAAGAGAAGAACGAGUGUGAGAGUGGAAAGUUCACACUGUGACGGUAGCUUACCAGAAAGAGACGGCUAACUACGUG
rnacentral:rRNA from 1 species